GUACCUUCAAGCUCUGCUUGGUGUUGGGCGUCUUGUCUCUCACGAGACUCGCCUUAAAAUGAUUGGCAGCCGACCUACUGGUUUCGGAGCGCAGCACAAUUCUUGCACUUUGAAUCAGCCUUGGUUGAGCAUCCAUCAAGACCACAUUUUUAAC
rnacentral:misc_RNA from 1 species